rnacentral:rRNA from 1 species
AUUGAACGCUGGAGGCAGGCAUAACACAUGCAAGUCGAACGAGUGGCGGACGGGUGAGUAAUGUCUGGGAAACUGCAUGAUGGAGGGGGAUAACUACUGGAAACGGUAGCUAAUACCGCAUACGAUGAGAUGUGCCCAGAUGGGAUUAGCUAGUUGGUGGGGUAACGGCUCAACAAGGCGACGAUCCCUCGCUGGUCUGAGAGGAUGACCGGACACACGGGAACGGAGACACGGUCCCGCCUCCUCCGGUAGGCAGCAGUGGGGAAUAGUGCACAAUGGGCGCAAGCCUGAUGCAGCCAUGCCGCGUGUAUGAAGAAGGCCUUCGGUUUGUAAAGUACUUUCAGCGGGGAGGCGUUACCCGCAGAAGAAGCACCGGCUAACUCCGUGCCAGCAGCCGCGGUAAUUC